rnacentral:tRNA from 3 species
GCCCCAAUAGCCCAAUUGGCAGAGGCAGCGGACUUAAAAUCCGCUCAGUCAGGGUUCGAGUCCCUGUUGGGGCACCA